rnacentral:tRNA from 1 species
GUUGAUGUAGCUUAACAUUAAAGCAAGGCACUGAAAAUGCCUAGAUGAGUUUAUAAAACUCCAUAAACA